CCUCCUGUGAUGAUGUAUUUCCAUGACUUUCGUUCUCCUGAGCUUGCUGAAGCCACGGAUUUCGAUCUGAGGGGAAGG
rfam:Chaetura pelagica isolate M959 contig829, whole genome shotgun sequence.